CUAAACUUUUUUAAUCUCUGCAAAGAAGAUCUCGUACUCAAGUUCUUAGAAUAAACCACUGCAUUUAAAAGUAUUGAGUGUUUUCAAUUCUCGCGCAUUUCAGCGAGCAAAGCGACCAGCGCUCCACGACUAACACCAACCCACUCGUCUUAUCCCUAAAACUGCAAGGAUUUUUUCAAGAAAAAGAUACGUGGAUUGGUGCCCAUGUGCUGAACCACCUGCUCGCAGAAUUGUGCGAAAAUUCAAAAAGACUUCGGUGUUUCUAAACGAUCGUUUAUUCCAACUUGUACGUUUCGAUUACGACAGAAAGAAAUAAACGUUUAGGAGUCAAAAAUUGAA